UGCUACUGGUGCAUAGUAUCCCUCUUGUC
rnacentral:sRNA from 1 species